rnacentral:ncRNA from 1 species
CCUCGAGAAGGGCAAACCUGCCGCAAGGUGGGGGCGCAAAGCCAUCGGCCCAUUAUGAGCUGCACAGGGCGGCCGGGCUGCCGGG